rnacentral:rRNA from 1 species
GAUGAACGCUGGCGGCGUGCCUAAUACAUGCAAGUCGAGCGAAUGGAUUAAGAGCUUGCUCUUAUGAAGUUAGCGGCGGACGGGUGAGUAACACGUGGGUAACCUGCCCAUAAGACUGGGAUAACUCCGGGAAACCGGGGCUAAUACCGGAUAACAUUUUGAACCGCAUGGUUCGAAAUUGAAAGGCGGCUUCGGCUGUCACUUAUGGAUGGACCCGCGUCGCAUUAGCUAGUUGGUGAGGUAACGGCUCACCAAGGCAACGAUGCGUAGCCGACUUGAGAGGGGGAUCGGCCAGACUGGGACUGAGGCACGGGCCAGCCUCCUACGGGAGGCAGCAGUAGGGAAUCUUCCGCAAUGGACGAAAGUCUGACGGAGUAACGCCGCGUGGGUGAUGAAGGCUUUCGGGUCGUAAAACUCUGUUGUUAGGGAAGAACAAGUGCUAGUUGAAUAAGCUGGCACCUUGACGGUACCUAACCAGAAAGCCACGGCUAACUACGUGCCAGCUGCCGCCGUAA